rnacentral:rRNA from 1 species
GUAAGUAAUAUACCCUUUUAGAUUUGCAACCUAUACAGCAAUUACUGCCAUUUAAUAUAUUUUAAUAAAAUCACUGUAUAGUACUAAGCUACGAAAUAAUUAUGGCAAAGAAUUUCUGAACUUUUUGCUCAAAUUACCCUAAAUAACACAAAUUACUGUUUCUCUGUAUUUAAUCAACUUUUUAUUGUUUACACAAUUAAUUGAAUAAAAAAUAAUGUAAGUAAUAUACCCUUUUAGAUUUUCGAUCUAUUCGGCAAUUACUGUCAUUCAAUGUAUUUUAAUAAAAUCACUGUAUAGUACUAAGCUACGAAAUAAUUAUGACAAAGAAUUUCUGAACUUUUUAACAGAAGAAAAAAGAAUAACAUUAAAAAUUUCCUGUAUAAUAAAUUUAAUGUAAGUAAUAUACCCACUAGUACCUCCUUUAUACACCCAAUUAUAACAAUCUUAUCUAAUUAUUCUGAUAUAAAACCAACAUUUACGCACAAGUAAUAUAUAAGCAUAAAUAUUAUUUAUAAUAUUUAUGGCAUACAUUGAAUUAACAAAUUUUAUAAACAUUAAUUUAUGAAAAUUCUCAAUCUACCAAAUUACAAUAAACUAUCACAAUAAACUUAAAAAUUCUUUAUUAGUUAAAAACAACAGAUUCAAAUUUAUAUUAUACUAUUCUUUAAGUAAUGCUUAUCAUUACUAAUAACAUUCGACUAAGAAAAAAUUAAGAUUCAAACCGUCUAUAUUUUCCUAAAAAUCCCCAAACAUAAUUCAGCUUAAAGCUAAAAUAAAAAUAAUUCAACAAAUAUAAAAAUUAUUAAAUUUAAACUCAAUAAAAGCAAUAAAUGUUUAACAAAAACAUUGUUUUACUACUCAUUAAAUAAAAUCUGCUCAGUGAUUAAUUAAACAGCAUUUAAAGUAGCACAAUCAAUAGUCCCUUAAUUAGGGAAUUGAAUGAAUGAUACAAUAUUGCUUUUUUAUAAUUUUAAUAACACAAACUUAUAAAGCACCAAAAAAUUUGCUAAAUCAUAAAAAGAAAAAAAGACCCUAAAAGUUUAAUUUUAAAAAUUUUUUUGGGGAAAAAUAUGAAUUACUAUCAUAACUAUCCAUUAAAUGAUUAUAAUAAAUUACUUUAGGGUUAACAGGAAAAUACUGUUUUAAAGACCACAUUAAAAACAAAAAUUUUUACCUCGAUGUUGAAUUGUAGUAACUUUUAUAUGCAGCAAUACAAAAAGAAAAACUGUUCGUUUUAUACUACUACACAUGAUUUGAGUUCAAAUCGGUUUAAGCCAGAUUGGUUUCUAUCUUUUUUAUAUUUUUACUUGUACGAAAGGACUUUAAAAAUUUUUAGGUCAUAUAGUUUAUAACUAAAACACUAGUCUGUAAAACUAAAAAAUCAUUAACCUUGGCAA